AUGUCCCCAGAAUGCUCACACCAUCCCCCAUCUUGGGGUGCUCACACCAUCCCCAUGUUCUUGGGGUGCUCACACCAUUCUUAUGGCCCCAGAAUGCUCAUACCAUCACCCAUCUUGGGGUGCUCACACAGUCCCCACGUCCCCAGAAUGUUCACACCAUCCCCAUGUUCUUGGGGUGCUCACAUCCACCCAUGUUCCAAGAAUGUUCACACCAUCCCCCAUCUUGGGGUGCUCACACCAUCCCCAUGUUCUUGGGGUGGUCAGAUCACCCCCAUGGCCCCAGAAUGCUCACACCAUCACCCAUCUUGGGGUGUUCACAUCAUCCCCAUGAUCUUGGGGUGCUCACACCAUCCUCAUGUCCCCAGAAUGCUCACACCAUCCCCCAUCUUGGGGUGCUCACAGUGUCCCCAUAAUCUUGGGGUGCUCACACCAUCCUCAUGGCCCCAGAAUGCUCACACCAUCCCCCAUCUUGGGGUGCUCACACAGUCCCCACGUCCCCAGAAUAUUCACACCAUCCCCAUGAUCUUGGGGUGCUCACAGUGUCCCCAUGUUCUUGGGUUGCUCACAUACCCCCAAGUCCCCAGAAUAUUCACACCAUCCCCCAUCUUGGGGUGCUCAUAUCAUCCCCAUGUACUUGGGGUGCUCACAUCCCCCCAUGUCCCAAGAAUGCUCACACCAUCACCCAUAUUGGGGUGCUCACAGGGUCCCCAUUUUUCUUGGGGUGCUCACACCAUCCUCAUGGCCCCAGAAUGCUCACACCAUUCCCAAUCUUGGGGUGCUUACACCAUCCCCAUGUUCUUGGGGUGCUCACACCAUUCUUAUGGCCCCAGUAUGCUCAUACCAUCCCCCAUCUUGGGGUGCUCACACAGUCACCAAGUCCCCAGAAUGUUCACACCAUCCUCAUGUUCUUGGGUUGCUCACAUACCCCCAAGUCCCCAGAAUGUUCACACCAUCACCCAUCUUGGGGUGCUCACAGUGUCCCCAUGUUCUUGGGGUGCUCACACAGUCCCCAUGUCCCCAGGAUGUUCACACCAUCCCCCAUCUUGGGGUGCUCACAGUGUCCCCAUGUUCUUGGGUUGCUCACAUACCCCCAUGUCCCCAGAAUGCUCACACCAUCCCCCAUCUUGGGGUGCUCACACAGUCACCAAGUCCCCAGAAUGUUCACACCAUCCUCAUGUUCUUGGGUUGCUCCCCCAUGUUCCUGGGGUGCUCACACAGUCCCCAUGUCCCCAGACUGUUCACACCAUCCCCCAUCUUGGGGUGUUCACAUCAUCCCCAUGUUCUUGGGGUGGUCAGAUCACCCCCAUGUCCCCAGAAUGCUCACACCAUCACCCAUCUUGGGGUGCUCACACAGUCCCCACGAUCUUGGGGGUGCUCACAGUGUCCCCAUGUUCUUGGGGUGCUCACAUACCCCCAUGUCCCAAGAAUGCUCACACCAUCACCCAUCUUGGGGUGCUCACAGUGUCCCCACGAUCUUGGGGUGCUCACAUACCCCCAUGUCCCCAGGAUGUUCACACCAUCCCCAUGACCUUGGGGUGCUCACAGUGUCCCCAUGACCUUGGGGUGCUCACCCCAUCCCCAUUCCUGCAUUGCCCCACUCCUGAGAAUCCGAUGAUGCGUCGUCAUGUGCUGGAAUAGAAUAGUGCUUAAUAGGAAAUAUUUAAUUGCUAUUUAAUUUGUAAUGUAAAUUAAAAAAAAAAAAAAAAAAAAAAAAAAAAAAAAAAAAAAAAACACACCUCAUUUGUCCAUACGGCAUGUAAAUAUUUUCCCCUAUCAAAUAUAAAUAUUCCUCAUCCAAAUCCUGAUUUUUGUAAUGAAAAGAUUAUUAUUAUUAUUUCUGUCGAACAGAGAGAAAAUAAUGCUGAGAAGCUGCAGUUCAGCUUCUCCCUCAGCAGCAAAAUAGUAGAACUGAACUGAAUGGAAAGGUUUUAGCGUUUACUGU
ensembl:lncRNA